GAUGAACGCUGGCGGCGUGCCUAAUACAUGCAAGUCGAGCGAACAGACGAGGAGCUUGCUCCUCUGACGUUAGCGGCGGACGGGUGAGUAACACGUGGAUAACCUACCUAUAAGACUGGGAUAACUUCGGGAAACCGGAGCUAAUACCGGAUAAUAUAUUGAACCGCAUGGUUCAAUAGUGAAAGACGGUUUUGCUUUCACCUAUAGAUGGAUCCGCUCCGCUUUACCUAGUUGGUAGGGUAACGGCGUACCAAGCCAACGAACCGUACCCGGCAUGUGAGGGAGAUCGGCCAGAAUGGAACUGAGAACCGGUCCAGACCCCUACGGAAGGCAGAAGUAGGGAAUCUUCCGCAUUGGGCGAAGGCCUAACGGGGCAACGCCGCGGGAGUGAGGAGGGUCUUCGGAUCGAAAAACUCUGUUGUUAGGGAAGAACAAGUGUGUAAGUAACUAUGCACGACUUGACGGUACCUAAUCAGAAAGGCACGGCUAACUACGUG
rnacentral:rRNA from 1 species